UACGAAGGGGGCUAGCGUUGCUCGGAAUUACUGGGCGUAAAGGGAGCGUAGGCGGACAUUUAAGUCAGGGGUGAAAUCCCGGAGCUCAACUCCGGAACUGCCCUUGAUACUGGGUGUCUUGAGUGUGAGAGAGGUAUGUGGAACUCCGAGUGUAGAGGUGAAAUUCGUAGAUAUUCGGAAGAACACCAGUGGCGAAGGCGACAUACUGGCUCAUUACUGACGCUGAGGCUCGAAAGCGUGGGGAGCAAACAGG
rnacentral:rRNA from 1 species